rnacentral:piRNA from 1 species
UCCCUAACAGGAAUGACCUCAACGACGGUG